AGAGUUUGAUCCUGGCUCAGGACGAACGCUGGCGGCGUGCUUAACACAUGCAAGUCGAACGGAAAGGCCCUUUCGGGGGUACUCGAGUGGCGAACGGGUGAGUAACACGUGGGUGAUCUGCCCUGCACUUUGGGAUAAGCCUGGGAAACUGGGUCUAAUACCGAAUACACCCUGCUGGUCGCAUGGCCUGGUGGGGGAAAGCUUUUGCGGUGUGGGAUGGGCCCGCGGCCUAUCAGCUUGUUGGUGGGGUGAUGGCCUACCAAGGCGACGACGGGUAGCCGGCCUGAGAGGGUGUCCGGCCACACUGGGACUGAGAUACGGCCCAGACUCCUACGGGAGGCAGCAGUGGGGAAUAUUGCACAAUGGGCGCAAGCCUGAUGCAGCGACGCCGCGUGGGGGAUGACGGCCUUCGGGUUGUAAACCUCUUUCACCAUCGGCGAAGCCCAUAGCUUUUGUUGUGGGUGACGGUAGGUGGAGAAGAAGCACCGGCCAACUACGUGCCAGCAGCCGCGGUAAUACGUAGGGUGCGAGCGUUGUCCGGAAUUACUGGGCGUAAAGAGCUCGUAGGUGGUUUGUCGCGUUGUCCGUGAAAUUCCCUGGCUUAACUGGGGGCGUGCGGGCGAUACGGGCAGACUAGAGUACUGCAGGGGAGACUGGAAUUCCUGGUGUAGCGGUGGAAUGCGCAGAUAUCAGGAGGAACACCGGUGGCGAAGGCGGGUCUCUGGGCAGUAACUGACGCUGAGGAGCGAAAGCGUGGGGAGCGAACAGGAUUAGAUACCCUGGUAGUCC
rnacentral:rRNA from 1 species